rnacentral:rRNA from 1 species
UGGGGAAUAUUGCACAAUGGGCGCAAGCCUGAUGCAGCCAUGCCGCGUGUGUGAAGAAGGCCUUCGGGUUGUAAAGCACUUUCAGCGAGGAGGAAGGUGGUGAGCUUAAUACGCUCAUCAAUUGACGUUACUCGCAGAAGAAGCACCGGCUAACUCCGUGCCAGCAGCCGCGGUAAUACGGAGGGUGCAAGCGUUAAUCGGAAUUACUGGGCGUAAAGCGCACGCAGGCGGUUUGUUAAGUCAGAUGUGAAAUCCCCGGGCUCAACCUGGGAACUGCAUUUGAAACUGGCAAGCUAGAGUCUCGUAGAGGGGGGUAGAAUUCCAGGUGUAGCGGUGAAAUGCGUAGAGAUCUGGAGGAAUACCGGUGGCGAAGGCGGCCCCCUGGACGAAGACUGACGCUCAGGUGCGAAAAGCGUGGGGAGCAAAACAGGAUUAGAUACCCUGGUAGUCCACGCUGUAAAACGAUGUCGAUUUUGGAGGUUGUGCCCCUUGAGGCGUGGCUUCCGGAGCUAACGCGUUAAAUCGACCGCCUGGGGAGUACGGCCGCAAGGUU